AUAACACAUUUGCUUUAUUAUUUAAUAAGGUGCACAAUAUGAAUUGGUCAAAUAUUUAAGAAUAAUAUUACGAUUUCAGUUACUUCUUGUCAGUUUGUAUUAUUGCUCCAGUAGAACAAUAUUUACCCAAGUCACAAGUAAACUAUAAGUGGAAUUUUAUAUCCACUAUUAAUGAAGAACAUGGUGUUCUGCUUUUUAAUAUAAAUAUAUAACUUAUAUAAAUAUAAUUAUCUAAGGAUAUUGCCUAGUCUUAACUGAAGAUGCAAUUUUGCUGUAUUUUCUUUUAUGUGUAUAUGAGGAUGUCUGUAUGGGGAUGUCUGCAUGUGAGUUCAAAUGCCCACUGAAAUCUGAGUUGUUGGACCCAGGGAGCCUAAGUAACAGGCAAUUCUGAGCAGCCUGGCAAGAGUGCUAGAAACCAAACUGAGUAGGCUCUUAAUUACCAAGUUACCUCUCCUACCUCCAGGAUAUUCAAUUAAAAAUUGCAAAUUCUUCCAAGGAUCUUCUUAAAUAUCUUUUAGAGAUUUUUUUUCAGUGAAAACUGAAGAGAGUAACAACUGAAAUAUUUUUCUGAAAUGCUCAAUUGCAUUGCCUCCUUUUAUAUUUGUGGUAUUGAUGAUGCUACUGUUAUCAAAUCAUUACUGUGCACCUGACAAUAUGUAACCUCCAGAGCAUAUUUCAGAAAAUAUAUUCACAGACUUUUACUAACAUUAUUAGCCAUGCAGGUGGUACCAUGACCCUUUAUUUACAAGAAAAAUGUAUGAGUGCUUAAAAGAUUUAUCCUUCAGUUUUAUAAUAAAAGAAGUUGAGUUAAAUCUUAAUCCAUGGUCUUUGAAUGGUUUAUUUAAUCCUUUAAAAUAUAAUACAAUUCAUUUAACAUGGCUAUAAAAUUGACCUUUUACUGGAAAUUACGGUCUAAAUUUAAAAUCAUUUGUUUUCUAUAGAACUUUCAUAACUUUCUAAUGUCAUUGGGCUUCUUAGCAGAUCUUAUUCUCACAUCAACGUAAAUGGGUUUGGAGGGCCCUUAUAUGUAAGAAAAAUUUAAUCCCAUAUGUCAAUAAAUAGAUUAUUACAUCAUUAUAAUACUGAAUACCUCUUUGUUUAAUGCUGAUUGUGAAAAUUGAAACAAAAGCAAGAACUGAGUUGAUGACUUUAAAAAGAGAAAAGAGAGCAAGAGAGAAUAAGGAACAUAGUUCUCACAUAAAGAAAAAGACAAGCUAUCUGAAGUAUAUCCUUUCCUGUGUAAGAAAGCAUUUAUUGAUGUGUCAUUUUGAUGGGGCAUACUUGUAGAAAGCAUACUUAAUGAGUCUUAAGUAGAAAGUGCUGAAUUGCUGGCACUGGAACAAAAUCACUUUCUAUAACCUACUAAAGACCAAGAGGAAAUAUUAUAUAAAUUAGUAAGGAAGAUGGAUGUGAUGAUCAGUUUGAAACUCAAAAAAUGUUGAAGAAAGGCACAAGCCUUAUAUUUUUAGACCUAUGAAAUAUUAAGUGCCUGGCCCAUGAGAAAGAAAACAACAUCAGGAGUUUGUGCCCUUCUGGGUAUAGGAAGAUCAUGUAUUUACUCGUACAUGUGUUUGUUUGUUUGUCAAAUUUUUAUUACAGGUAAGGAAUACCAGUCAGUGCACAUGUGCUAGGAAUUAAUUCACCACAAUGUGUCUUAUGAAGCUUAUUUUUGAGUAGGUGCCAUACAUAAACGUGCUCAGUGAAACCACAGUUGGAUAUGACUAAGUGCUCAAAAUAAUGGAAGUCAGAACGAUUCUCAGGAUUGCAGUAUUAUGCAGAAUAGUUAGGAAAUAUUUGUCGGAGGAGACAACGUCAAAGACAGAAAAAAAAAAACUAGGUACCACUAGGGUUUCCUGAAAGUUACUAUUCUAGCAUAAGAACUUCUAGUAAUCAAAUGGGAUUUUCUUCAAGAUUGUAUAAAAUCUUGUGAGUAUCUGAAACUGUAUUUAGAUACAUGAGUGGAUGACAAGAGACCUGAUGAUGAUGAUGAUGAAACUGGAGUCCUCAUUGUAAAUAGUUUAUCACUUUUUAGUGUAAGUAAAGAAUAAACUUGUAUUUCAGUAGAGCCAUAAUGUUGUUAUUUUGAUGUUAAAUUGGGUUAAUGAAGAGGAAAACGGUCUUCUAAAGAACAUGACUUGAGAGAAAAAAGAAAUAGUCC
rnacentral:lncRNA from 1 species